AUGCCAGCAAUGUCAACUGUGGAAUCAAAGAUGACUGGAAACAACUUUGAGACAACUGACCUGGCUAGGAGACCAUCGCUCUCUCUAAGAUGCCUUGACUUGGAAGGGCGCUUUGUAAGACUUGGUGAUAACCUGAUUAUUUCAGCAUUCAUUUUUCUGAAGCCUCGGGCAAUUCCUUCUCCAACAUGCAUAUUUUUUGGCAUUAGUUUAACAGGUAAUAAUGUCCCUUCAGUGUUUCACAGUACUCAUAGGCACUUCCAAACAUAGCUAAAUGUGGCAGGUUAUUACUAUCUCUAAUUUUUUAGCCAAUAAAGAUGAGUCAAGUUAAAUAUUCUUACCUAAAGCCACACAAGCACCAGACCUUAUGAUUAAGUGCAGAUGUUUUGACUCCAGGGCCUAGAUGCUUCUAUUCCACAUAGCACCAACCAAGAGUAAGCACAUCUUUUAAGGUUUUCUUAUCAUCCUUCCCCUGUUAUCUUCCUCUCUUCCGGAAAGUCACCUCCGCUUCCGAUUGUAUCUUAACGAUAACUUUCAGAGCUGC
rnacentral:lncRNA from 1 species